rnacentral:rRNA from 1 species
GACGAACGCUGGCGGCGUGCCUAAUACAUGCAAGUAGAACGCACAGUUUAUACCGUAGCUUGCUACACCAUAGACUGUGAGUUGCGAACGGGUGAGUAACGCGUAGGUAACCUGCCUGGUAGCGGGGGAUAACUAUUGGAAACGAUAGCUAAUACCGCAUAAUAUUGAUUAUUGCAUGAUAAUUAAUUGAAAGGUGCAAUUGCACCACUACCAGAUGGACCUGCGUUGUAUUAGCUAGUAGGUGAGGUAACGGCUCACCUAGGCGACGAUACAUAGCCGACCUGAGAGGGUGAUCGGCCACACUGGGACUGAGACACGGCCCAGACUCCUACGGGAGGCAGCAGUAGAGAAUCUUCGGCAAUGGACGAAAGUCUGACCGAGCAACGCCGCGUGAGUGAAGAAGGUUUUCGGAUCGUAAAGCUCUGUUGUAAGAGAAGAACGGGUGUGAGAGUGGAAAGUUCACACUGUGACGGUAUCUUACCAGAAAGGGACGGCUAACUACGUG